UGCAGGAGGAACCCAAUAUGACGGAGUCAUAUUUAAGGAUGGUUCCGACGACUUGCCAACCAGCGAAGGCGAGGGACAACACAAGAU
rnacentral:sRNA from 1 species